rnacentral:rRNA from 1 species
CGAGGGUUGUGCACGCUUGUUGUUCUUCAUUUCUCCAUCUCAUUUGUGCACCUCUUGUGUGGAUCAAUGUCCUUUGCGGACGAAUGGGGGGUUUGCUUUGCAAAAUACUUGCGGGCUUUCCUUGUGAUCUAUAUUUUUACAUAUACUCCAGUCACAUAGAAUGAUAUAUAUAUAUAUGGAAAUUGUUAUACAACUUUCAGCAACGGAUCUCUUGGCUCUCGCAUCGAUGAAGAACGCAGCGAAAUGCGAUAAGUAAUGUGAAUUGCAGAAUUCAGUGAAUCAUCGAAUCUUUGAACGCAUCUUGCGCUCCUUGGUAUUCCAAGGAGCAUGCCUGUUUGAGUGUCAUUUAUAUAUCUCAAUCCUGCAUCCGUGAAAAAAAGGGUGUCGGGCUUGGACUUGGGGGUUACAGGCUCUGCUAUUGCAGUCUGCUCUCUUGAAAUACAUGGAGGCCCCUCCCCUGUUUUAAAGGUGUGAUAUAUCUAUCUGCAUCUAAAAUCUUGGGGGGUGUUUGCCGCUGAGGGGGAUGGCUUGUUGAUAAACUUGACCUCAAAUCAGGUAGGACCACCCGCUGAACUUAAGCAUAUCAAUAAGCGGAGGAAAAGAAACUAACGAGGAUUCCCGU